rnacentral:rRNA from 1 species
AAACUAACAAGGAUUCCCCUAGUAACGGCGAGUGAAGAGGGAAGAGCCCAAGAUUGAAAGCUGGCGUCUUCGGCGUCCGCAUUGUAAUCUCAAGAAGUGUUUUCCGCUUCGGACCAAGCCUAAGUCCCCUGGAAAGGGGCAUCAUAGAGGGUGAUAAUCCCGUACAUGGCUUGGAGCGCCCGAGGCUUUGUGAUACGCUUUCUAAGAGUCGAGUUGUUUGGGAAUGCAGCUCAAAAUGGGUGGUAAAUGCCAUCUAAGGCUAAAUAUUGGGGAGAGACCGAUAGCGAACAAGUACAGUGAUGGAAAGAUGAAAAGAACUUUGAAAAGAGAGUUAAACAGUACGUGAAAUUGCCAAAAGGGAAGGGUAGGAGGUCAGAGAUGCGGCCUGGGAUUCAGCCUUGCUUUUGCUUGGUGUUUUUCCCAGAUUGCAGGCCAACGUCGGUUUUGGGCACUGGAGAAGGGUAGGAGGAACGUGGCACCCCUCGGGGUGUGUU